UACGGGGGGUGCGAGCGUUGUCCGGAAUCACUGGGCGUAAAGGGCGCGUAGGUGGUUUGAUAAGGGUGUGGUGAAAGUCCGGGGCUCAACCCCGGAUCUGCCGUGCCGACUGUCAAACUCGAGGACUGUAGAGGCAGACGGAAUUCCGGGUGUAGCGGUGGAAUGCGUAGAGAUCCGGAGGAAGACCGGUGGCGAAGGCGGUCUGCUGGGCAGUUUCUGACACUGAGGCGCGACAGCGUGGGGAGCAAAC
rnacentral:rRNA from 1 species